GUUGGGCUGUUGGGAAGAUGGAUACCACAAUGAAUAUUGAAGAUUGUGACCCUGACUUAACGGCAAGAAACUUUUGUCGAGUGGAGGUUUCUGCAUUGGAGAGGGAUGUGGUUGGAGAGCUCGUCUUGGGUGAAGACUGGACUUGGACUUGGGUAACCAUGCUUGCGCAUCCGUCUUCAAGCCACACAGAGGUAGUGCCCCAUUCCCCCUACCGUCGUUGGUGUCUUAAUUGAUGCAAGCCUGCAUCCCAUCUGUUGCAAGUUGGACACUUGGAUGACAUUCAAGUCAGCUGCUUCGAAUCACCAUAAGCGCCGUAUGGACUCGUGUGAAUGUUUACAGCAGUUGAAGACCGUCCCUAGUGUAACACUGAAACUAGUCUCGUCGCCACAAACAUACACCAGUUUACAGCAGGAGCCGAACUACGUUUCCACGUCAGUUAUCCGGAAAACUUCUGUGAGAUCAACUACUCCCGAGAUAUGUAUACAAAUUAAGUAAU